CUUCGUUUCUCUUUCUUCAGAUGAUGAUCCCAAGCCUUCUGGCGAUCUCUUAAAUAAAGCUUUCCAUGUUUUUAAUAACCAUGGCUUUUAGACACCUCUUUAAAUUCUUAAUGAUAUUAAAGAUCAGGGGUUAAAAAAAAGAGCUUUAACAAAGAAAGCAACUUAAAAAAACUUUCCAUUGAUAUAAGAUGAUACCGGGGAAGGUUUUCCGGUUUGUUCCGGAGGGCUUGUAGCUCAGUUGGUUAGAGCGCGCGCUUGAUAAGCGUGAGGUCGGAGGUUCAAGUCCUCCCAGGCCCACCAAUUACUCUAUCAAUCUAUAAGCGCUUGUGAAAUUUACUCAUAGGGAAUGUCCCUUAUCAGUUUUUAAGAAAUUUACUUUUGCAAAAUUAUGCUCUCUCUUUGGUUUUAAAAUCCGAAUUUUUAAAAACUAAAGUUAAAGUGGUCUCAAGAUAAAACGGUGUUUUGAGACAAAGUGCAAAAAAUAACGAUUUAAGUGAUAAAUAGCGGUUUAAGUGAACUUAAAUUUGAGCGUUUCAAGUGCAUUAUGUUUUUUUAGGGGCCGUAGCUCAGCUGGGAGAGCACCUGCUUUGCAAGCAGGGGGUCGUCGGUUCGAUCCCGUCCGGCUCCACCAUUUGGUCAUCAUCAUGUUGUAAGAACACGUUUUCGUGAAGGAUUUAUGAAUCUUUCGCUUGUUCUAUUGAAAUUGUGAAGAGAAG
rnacentral:tRNA from 1 species